UACGGAGGGAGCUAGCGUUGUUCGGAAUUACUGGGCGUAAAGCGCGCGUAGGCGGCUUUUGUAAGUUAGAGGUGAAAAGCCCCGGAGCCUCAACUCCGGGAACUGCCUUUUAAGACUGCAUCGCUUGAAUCCAGGAGAGGUGAGUGGAAUUCCGAGUGUAGAGGUGAAAAUUCGUAGAUAUUCGGAAGAAACACCAGUGGCGAAGGGCGGCUCACUGGACUGGUAUUGACGCUGAGGUGGCGAAAAGCGUGGGGAGCAAACAGG
rnacentral:rRNA from 1 species